AGCGUUUGUAUUGGCAGUUUUCAUUGUGGUUCUCGCUGUGGAAGACUCUGUUCAAUGGAGCGGCAAUAUAUGUCCCUACACGAAGGUCAUCUACAAAUCAAGCUAUAUCUGCAUUUCUUCUUGUUGGUGGACUUGCUGUGCUCACGCACUUAUACACGUGCCCCUUUAUACUACAGCUUACAAGUGUUGUCCCGGGUG